GCUUACUCAACCAAGAGCCGUAUACCAGACCGCGCUCAGUUGCAGAAAACUCCUUCUCUCGGCUCCGGUCCUGUUUGACCAUUCCAAUUUAAGGCUAUUUCAGAAGAAAAUAUAUUUCAAUAAUCAAGUUUCCACAGCUGCCGUGAGUGAGAGAUGACCGGAGAAAUAGCCCUCGGAAAGCGACGGGCCAUCCUGCUACUAUUAGGCUUGUGGCUAAUAAUAGGUGUUUCAGUCCAGGGAAGAUCAAUCAGGGGGAAUCAGGGGGAAUGUUCAGAGGAGCACUUUUACACAUCUGCCCAGAUGGAUGAAAUUACACUUGUCUGUUUUUAGUUGCAUUACUUCCAAAUUGGUUGUCUACUUUUUUCCCUCAUUCAUGUGUCAAUGGUCUACUAAAAGGAUUCUGCACUAAAUCCCCUGUCAUUUUAGUCUCACACCCAUCUCCCCUGCUCGCUGUUUAUUUACAAACUUGCAUAUGCACGGAUAAUAACCAGAUAACACACAGCCCGAUUUCACUUCUGAGGGGGCCCGGGGCUAUGAAAUUACCUUGUGUUCACAUCCGAUGUGCACGGCUUUCUUCUUCUGAUUUUACAGUGCACUUAUCAACACUUGAUGGAUGCAGUUCAAUGCAUUCAAAUCCAGCCUGGUUAAUGUUCUCUUUUUGGCAGGAUCACUGUUAGGCUGUUAGAACUAUUUGAUAUAAAGUUAAACCAUUCAAAAUAGGCAGUGACAAUACGAUAAUAAUUUAUUUAUAGAAAUGUUUUUUAGAUUAACAGUUUUCUUUCUGACUAAAUGUCAGGGUCAAUAAAUUAAUUUCCAUCAGUUGAAUGUUGCAUAAUAUUGUUACAUUUAGCAAAUUUCCCUGAUAAUGAAUGGACAAAAGGUCAAAAUUAUAAUGAAAGAAAAAGGUGACUGUCUGAAUUAUGUGUAUCAGAGAAUUCAGCCAAAUUAAGAUGUGCUCAUAAUAUAUAAACACACACACACACACACACACACACGCACGCACACACACACACACACACACACACACACACACACACACACACACAAAAAUGUUGCACCUACUAUAUACAUUUUUUGUGUGAAAAAAUGCAAUUGUAUAUUCAAUUAUAGUAUGUGCUCAUUUGGAUAAUUAGCUAUUAGCAUUGGCAUUACUGUAUGCAUUUUCAUGCAUCAGGAUAUGGGUGCUGCAUUUCCACUGGAAUAAAUAAAAAUAUAUUACAUAGCAUUAGCAUGUUGAUUCAAUUCCAUAUGUCAAAUGCAAUUCUUUUGUAUGUACUUAUUUGUACAGUGUAUAUAUAUUUCAAAUAUUUUCAAAUAUUUUCAAAUAUUUCAUUCCAGAGAAUUUCAGAUUUUUGAUGUAAUGAAAUAACUUUGAAUUUGUAUUCAUGUUUAAGUGUAUUGCAGCUGUGCAUGUUUCUGUCUGUUGAAUAUUUGAAAUGAAUAAAGGAAUUGAAGUUAGUCUAAA